UUCUUCUCACAACUCACUCACAAAGCAAAGCAGCAACAAUUCAUUCUAUCCAGUUUCUCCAGAGUCCCAAAGCUGAAGCCUUCAAGCUCAGCACCCAUCAAAUGACGGACUGCCCCUUCAGCCAGUCCUAAUUUACCAUCCCAGCACCGCCCAUUAUGGCUUUUCACUGCCCCUGCUCCACUGAAGCACUGGAGUCGCGGCGUCUCAUGGGCGUCCCGGAAGCUCACGCUCGUCCUCGGCGCCAACACCACCUCCUCACGAAGCAGACCCACUUCCCCUCUUCCUCCUCUUGGCUCGUUCGCUCCGUCAGCCUGAGGUUUUUAUCACCGAGGUUAGAGUUAGUUGGGUCAUUCCAAAGGGUUGUUUCGAGCUUUGAAGCACCAACUUUGAGGCUCUAGGAAUUGGGAGGAAAGCUAAAGCUUUGUGGGGUUGUCUGGUGUCUGCAGUUUUUUGGAACAUUUGGUUGGAGCGUGACAAAAGAAUUUUUGAGGAUUAUACUGGUGUGGGGGUAGCAGAUCUAUGGGGAAGAGUAAGAUAUUGGGCAGCCCUCUGGGCUUCAGUUUCGAAUGAUUUUAAGAAUUACUCUCUUUCUCACAUACUGUGGGAUAUGUUAGCAGUUGUAAAGUGAUUUUGGUUGAGG